UGGGGAAUAUUGGACAAUGGGCGAAAGCCUGAUCCAGCCAUGCCGCGUGUGUGAAGAAGGCCUUUUGGUUGUAAAGCACUUUAAGCGAGGAGGAGGCUACUUGGAUUAAUACUCUAGGAUAGUGGACGUUACUCGCAGAAUAAGCACCGGCUAACUCUGUGCCAGCAGCCGCGGUAAUACAGAGGGUGCGAGCGUUAAUCGGAUUUACUGGGCGUAAAGCGUGCGUAGGCGGCUUCUUAAGUCGGAUGUGAAAUCCCUGAGCUUAACUUAGGAAUUGCAUUCGAUACUAGGAAGCUAGAGUAUGGGAGAGGAUGGUAGAAUUCCAGGUGUAGCGGUAAAAUGCGUAGAGAUCUGGAGGAAUACCGAUGGCGAAGGCAGACAUCUGGCCUAAUACUGACGCUGAGGUACGAAAGCAUGGGGAGCAAACAGG
rnacentral:rRNA from 1 species